GACGAACGCUGGCGGCGUGCUUGACACAUGCAAGUCGAACGGAAAGGCCCUGCUUUUGUGGGGUGCUCGAGUGGCGAACGGGUGAGUAACACGUGAGUAACCUGCCCUUGACUUUGGGAUAACUUCAGGAAACUGGGGCUAAUACCGGAUAGGAGCUCCUGCUGCAUGGUGGGGGUUGGAAAGUUUCGGCGGUUGGGGAUGGACUCGCGGCUUAUCAGCUUGUUGGUGGGGUAGUGGCUUACCAAGGCUUUGACGGGUAGCCGGCCUGAGAGGGUGACCGGCCACAUUGGGACUGAGAUACGGCCCAGACUCCUACGGGAGGCAGCAGUGGGGAAUAUUGCACAAUGGGCGGAAGCCUGAUGCAGCAACGCCGCGUGCGGGAUGACGGCCUUCGGGUUGUAAACCGCUUUCGCCUGUGACGAAGCGUGAGUGACGGUAAUGGGUAAAGAAGCACCGGCUAACUACGUGCCAGCAGCCGCGGUGAUACGUAGGGUGCGAGCGUUGUCCGGAUUUAUUGGGCGUAAAGGGCUCGUAGGUGGUUGAUCGCGUCGGAAGUGUAAUCUUGGGGCUUAACCCUGAGCGUGCUUUCGAUACGGGUUGACUUGAGGAAGGUAGGGGAGAAUGGAAUUCCUGGUGGAGCGGUGGAAUGCGCAGAUAUCAGGAGGAACACCAGUGGCGAAGGCGGUUCUCUGGGCCUUUCCUGACGCUGAGGAGCGAAAGCGUGGGGAGCGAACAGGCUUAGAUACCCUGGUAGUCCACGCUGUAAACGGUGGGUACUAGGUGUGGGGUCCAUUCCACGGGUUCCGUGCCGUAGCUAACGCUUUAAGUACCCCGCCUGGGGAGUACGGCCGCAAGGCUAAAAUUCAAAGGAAUUGACGGGGCCCCGCACAAGCGGCGGAGCAUGCGGAUUAAUUCGAUGCAACGCGUAGAACCUUACCUGGGUUUGACAUGGAUCGGGAGUGCUCAGAGAUGGGUGUGCCUCUUUUGGGGUCGGUUCACAGGUGGUGCAUGCCUGUCGUCAGCUCGUGUCGUGAGAUGUUGGGUUAAGUCCCGCAACGAGCGCAACCCUUGUUCACUGUUGCCAGCACGUUAUGGUGGGGACUCAGUGGAGACCGCCGGGGUCAACUCGGAGGAAGGUGGGGAUGACGUCAAGUCAUCAUGCCCCUUAUGUCCAGGGCUUCACGCAUGCUACAAUGGCUGGUACAGAGAGUGGCGAGCCUGUGAGGGUGAGCGAAUCUCGGAAAGCCGGUCUCAGUUCGGAUUGGGGUCUGCAACUCGACCCCAUGAAGUCGGAGUCGCUAGUAAUCGCAGAUCAGCAACGCUGCGGUGAAUACGUUCCCGGG
rnacentral:rRNA from 1 species